GACGAACGUUGGCGGCGUGCUUAACACAUGCAAGUCGAACGGAAAGGCCCUGCUUGCAGGGUACUCGAGUGGCGAACGGGUGAGUAACACGUGGGUGAACUGCCCUCCACUUCGUGAUAAGCUUUGGAAACUGGGUCUAAUACCGGAUAGGACCGCACUUUAGUGUGUGUGGUGGAAAGUUUUUUCGGUGUGGGAUGGGCUCGCGGCCUAUCCGCUUGUUUGUGGGGUAAUGGCCUACCAAGGCGGCGACGGGUAGCCGGCCUGAGAGGGUGUACGGCCACAUUGGGGCUGGGGUACGGCCCAGAAUCCUACGGGAGGCAGCAGUGGGGAAUAUUGCACAAUGGGCGCAAGCCUGAUGCAGCGACGCCGCGUGGGGGAUGAAGGCCUUCGGGUUGUAAACUCCUUUCGCUAGGGACGAAGCUUUUUGUGACGGUACCUAGUAAAGAAGCACCGGCUAACUACGUG
rnacentral:rRNA from 1 species